rnacentral:lncRNA from 1 species
AAAAGAUCCUUUGCAAAGUACUGGUGACCUUGAAGACAGAUUCUGUAGCUUAAAGACUUAGAAUCUAGUGUGUUCUCUGACUGAGAGAGCAUAAAGAUCAGCAGGCCUUAAGGUACCAGAGGAUCCUGUGGGUUGCCACAAGACAAGAAACAGGAUGAUAACCUGAAAUAGACACAGAGCUAUUGCUAUAAUUGCCUGUCUAGAAGUUAGGUAAAUCAUCUAAACUGUAAGGUGUGUAUCAGUGAAGUAUAAACUACAGCUUCGUUGGUGUCAGAAGUAUUCUACAGACAGAAACCUAUGGAAGAAAUGGAGGAACUGAGUGGGAUCAUAAAAUACCAGAACAGGAUAAUAAUAGCAAUGAUGGUGUAAAUUGUGUGCGGCAAAUACUGGUGUCAGAGCUGUCCCCUCAGGGCUUGUCCUGCAAAUAAAUAAGAAUGGAGCACCCAUAUCCCCU